rnacentral:rRNA from 1 species
CAAUAGCGUAUAUUAAAGUUGUUGCGGUUAAAAAGCUCGUAGUUGGAUUUCUGUUGGGAACGACCGGUCCGCCCAUUGGGUGUGUAUCUGGCUUGUUCUCGGCAUCUUCUUGGUGAACGUUGCUGCACUUGACUGUGUGGAGCGCUACCCAGGACUUUUACUUUGAGGAAAUUAGGGUGUUUCAAGCAGGCAUAUGCCUUGAAUACAUUAGCAUGGAAUAAUAAGAUAGGACCUCGGUUCUAUUUUGUUGGUUUCUAGAGCUGAGGUAAUGAUUAAUAGGGAUAGUUGGGGGCAUUCGUAUUUAACUGUCAGAGGUGAAAUUCUUGGAUUUGUUAAAGACUGACUACUGCGAAAGCAUUUGCCAAGGAUGUUUUCAUUGA